AACUUAAACUUGUCCGACUCCCACCGAACUAGUCGUUGGUUUGUCGACGGCAUCAAACAGUCGAACGACGGUGUUUUGAUGCGUCUUCUAACCCAAACCCAAAAUGAAUUCGUCGUCGUCAUCAAUCACAUAGAUAAAAGUCACAACUUUCUUUCCCUUUCCGGCUUUCCUUCCCUUCUUCUGGAUGCAUCAAACCCAUCGAAUUAUGAAUUUUUUGAAGUACGAAAGCAUAAGAUCCGAAGGGGAAAAAUAAAUAUGCAAAUAAGAGAAAUUCGUUUUAUUCUUUAUUUUUUUAUAUAAAGCUUUUGGCUUGGAUUUGAUUUGAUUGAUUCGGUGAAGCAAAGCAAAAAGAUAUUGGAGAAGAUUGGGUUGCGUGCAAAGCCAUCCUUGAGAGGGAAUACUUGGGUGGUUGACGCAAUGUACUUCUCAGUUCACCUUCAUCAAUCGCCAGCAUCAUUGCCGGAGGUGUGGGGGCUUGUUUUGCAACAGCUGCACCCAGCAAAGAAUGUUUUUUACGCGGGCAAGGUGAUUCGCCUGUGCACAUUUGUGAGCCUUGAAAAAAGCUAGAAGAAGCAACACGCUUUGAGAGACAUGGGCACAAGACUAGAGCUGGGAGAGGCAGUUUGAAGUUGACAUCAAAGCCUGAGGAUGAAGUUCUGAACCAAGGUGAGAGAAGUGAGAAUACUUGAAGCAUUGAACUUGAUCAUCAGAUCAGAGUAAUAGACAUCUUACUGAUCAAACACCCUUGAUUGAUAUAGAGGAAGCAUGAGGUUAACAUAUCAAAAUUUUGUACACCCACGGGAGGAGCUUCGGAAAUGGAAAUCCUGUACAGAUUUGGCUUUCCUUUCAGAUAGAUUGUUGUUUACCCAACGCCACGACACUCAUAAAGCUACGAUUUCAGCCGCAAACUAUCGAACUGACGUAGGCUUGUUUGCUUGUUUGCUUGUAUUUGUUCUUCUUUUUGGCCCCUCCUUUAUGCUUUUGUUCUUUUGUAUCUUUCUAGUUUUUCACCAUACUAGAGCAGGCAAGAGACAUACUUGUAUACGAAUAUGAUCGCUUAAUGAAAAUGUCUAACUUUCGUCCAUAGUC